UACGUAGGGGCCUAGCGUUGUCCGGAUUUAUUGGGCGUAAAGAGCUCGUAGGCGGUUCGGCAAGUCGGAUGUGAAAUCUCCACGCUCAACGUGGAGGGGCCAUUCGAAACUGCCGUGACUCGAGUCCGGUAGGGGAGUGUGGAAUUCCCGGUGUAGCGGUGAAAUGCGCAGAUAUCAGGAGGAACACCCGUAGCGAAGGCGGCACUCUGGGCCGAUACUGACACUGAGGAGCGAAAGCGUGGGGAGCGAACAGG
rnacentral:rRNA from 1 species